GGUAGAGGUCUGGGCACAGCGAGACUCACCUGGGUGUCACAAGGCUGAAAUCAAGGUUGGCAGCAGUUACGGCGAAGCUGGGCAGCUACCAGACAAGAGGAGAGUGAGGCAGAGACUACCUGGAGAGUAAAACCGCAGCAACGGUUGUGACUAACAGUCCUUGCUGAGGCAGCAGUGAGUGUGGCCAAGGCUGAUAUAAGGAGCGGACCCUGUCUUUGGCAACAAGAAGAAACGAAAUACUGACCCGUGUUGCAUUCGACCCAGCAUCAUAGAAACAUGGUGCCGUGGGAAAGAAACCAGUCACAACAUACCACCUCCUGUGGGAUCCCAUUUAUGUGAAAUGCCCAGAACGGGCAAAUCAAAAGAGCCAACGGGUAGACCCGUGGUCUCCUGGGACUGGGCAAUUUGGGGAGAAAGUGGGGAAUGAGUUCUGAUAAACACAGGGCUUCCUUUGAGGAUGACAGAAAUGUUUCUAGACGUGUGCCCAAGUGAGACUUUACAAAUAUUUCCCAUAUUGCAUCAUUUCAAAUCUGCCUAAUUGCAACUCAUACAGAAUGCUGCCACCGUGGACUAUCACCAACGCAAAAUGAAGGAAGAGAUGCUCGAAUUCACACAGCUGAUAAGAGGAAGGGCCAGGAUUGGAACCCAGCUUUGCUGGCGGGCAGACUUCUUCCUUCCCUUGCAAGAUGCUAGCAGCGGCACUGUGCCCUACCACUGGGGGGAAAAGGCGUCUGGCAGCCGCUAAUGUUUAUGGCACAUGUAGUAUUUAUUUUGUUCGGCGUGGUGCUCCAGGCUUGAUAUCUGCUACCCUUUGGGGGCAUUACCAUUAUCCCCCUUCUGCAGAGGAGUUAUGCAAAGCUCAGAGAGGUAAGACGCCAUGUUCAAGGGCUCUCAAUUAUCAAUGGAAACAUAACUGAAAACCAGACCUUUUGGACACGGGAGCCAGUGGUCUCGACCCCUGGGCUGCACUCUUGUUAGAACACAUCGAUCUCCCCAAUGAACUGACAGGCACAUCCUGAAGAUGCAUGUCCAGUUGACUCCCUGACAAGCCCAAAAAUUAAUAUUCUGUGAAAACCUUCUAGAGCCCUCUUAACAUUCCCUGUAUCUUUCCCCUUCCUCCCUAGUCCUUGGGAUGUGGAUACUGAUGUAAAUGGCAGCCACACGAUGAUGCGCAUUAUUGGAGCAUUUUCGGACAAUCGGGGCUGGACUCUGAUCUGAAAUGACUGUGACAAGAGAAAAUGAAAACCGCUAUGCUAAGGAAGUUUCCAUCAAGGGGCACUGGGUAUGUUUUUAAUCUAAUAAAGAAUACCUAAGGACAGAGA